AAUCUCUUUAGGGGUCCGACUGCUUCCUGUCUGACUGUCUGGUUCUCAGACUUGGACUCUACCCAGUGACCUGAGCUGAGGACUGGAUGUCUUUGGUACCAGGUGUCUGUGGCGGGUCCUGGGGUCGAUGAUGAUGGUCA